rnacentral:rRNA from 1 species
AGAGUUUGAUCCGGCUCAGGAUGAACGCUGGCGGCGUGCCUAACACAUGCAAGUCGAACGGAGUUAUGAUGUGAGCGGGAAGUGCUUGCACAGCCCAAUCUUUUCAUAACUUAGUGGCGGACGGGUGAGUAACGCGUGGGUAACCUGCCCUGUACUGGGGGACAACAGUUGGAAACGACUGCUAAUACCGCAUAAGCGCACGGGAUCGCAUGAUCCUGUGUGAAAAACUCCGGUGGUACAGGAUGGACCCGCGUCUGAUUAGCUGGUUGGUGAGGUAACGGCCCACCAAGGCAACGAUCAGUAGCCGGCCUGAGAGGGUGAACGGCCACAUUGGGACUGAGACACGGCCCAAACUCCUACGGGAGGCAGCAGUGGGGAAUAUUGCACAAUGGGGGAAACCCUGAUGCAGCGACGCCGCGUGAGUGAAGAAGUAUUUCGGUAUGUAAAGCUCUAUCAGCAGGGAAGAAAAUGACGGUACCUGACUAAGAAGCCCCGGCUAACUACGUGCCAGCAGCCGCGGUAAUACGUAGGGGGCAAGCGUUAUCCGGAUUUACUGGGUGUAAAGGGAGCGUAGACGGCAUGGCAAGUCUGAAGUGAAAUGCGGGGGCUCAACCCCUGAACUGCUUUGGAAACUGUCAGGCUGGAGUGCAGGAGAGGUAAGUGGAAUUCCUAGUGUAGCGGUGAAAUGCGUAGAUAUUAGGAGGAACACCAGUGGCGAAGGCGGCUUACUGGACUGUAACUGACGUUGAGGCUCGAAAGCGUGGGGAGCAAACAGGAUUAGAUACCCUGGUAGUCCACGCCGUAAACGAUGAUUACUAGGUGUUGGGGAUUUAUAAAUCCUCGGUGCCGUCGCAAACGCAAUAAGUAAUCCACCUGGGGAGUACUUCCGCAAAAUGAACUCCAAGGAAUUGACGGGACCCGCCAAGCGGGGAACAUGGGGUUAAUUCGAAGCACCCGAAAACCUUACCUGGCUUGAAUCCCAUGCUAACGGGAAAGCCGUUAGACUUCGUACUUGGAACAGGUGGGCAGGUUGCCCACCUCGGCCGGAAAUGUGGUUAAUCCCCACAAGGGCACCCUUUUGGUCAGUUACUACGCAAGAGGACUCUGGCCAGACUGCCGUUGACAAAACGGAGGAAGGUGGGGAUGACGUCAAAUCAUCAUGCCCUUUAUGACUUGGGCUACACACGUACUACAAUGGCGUUAAACAAAGAGAAGCAAGACCGCGAGGUGGAGCAAAACUCAGAAACAACGUCCCAGUUCGGACUGCAGGCUGCAACUCGCCUGCACGAAGUCGGAAUUGCUAGUAAUCGUGGAUCAGCAUGCCACGGUGAAUACGUUCCCGGGCCUUGUACACACCGCCCGUC